CCUACGGGAGGCUGCAGUCGAGAAUCUUCGGCAAUGGGCGCAAGCCUGACCGAGCGACGCCGCGUGCGGGAUGAAGGCCUUCGGGUUGUAAACCGCUGUCGGGGGGGAGCAACGGCCGCGAGGCCUUGAGCGAUCCCCGGAGGAAGGACGGGCUAAGUUCGUGCCAGCAGCCGCGGUAAGACGAACCGUCCGAACGUUAUUCGGAAUCACUGGGCUUAAAGCGUGCGUAGGCGGCCGGCCAAGUGAGGUGUGAAAGGCCCCGGCUCAACCGGGGC
rnacentral:rRNA from 1 species